CGGGAGCGGCCCCCGGGGCGGUGCGGGGCCCUCGACGCGGGGGCGCUGCUCGGUCGGGUCGUAGUGCUGAGAGGAAGGGAGGCCCCGGCCCUUGACAGCAUCAGGGAUCUUGGGCAGCUCUGCAGCCUGCGAGAGGGGAAGCAACGUGACAGGCGAAAGACCCCGGUCACUGAAAGUGACAGAGGAAGAACAAGAGGAAGACAAAAUAAGAUGAUGAAUUUCCACUGAAAAGGUUUAAGGCAGUAUCUCUGAGUACAGAAAUCUGAAAAACUUCCAUGGCAGCUACCAGAACGCUGAUCAAAAGUUCAAAAUCUCCCAGCACAGUUAUGGUCUGGCAUUUCCUAUGAAGAAACAGCAGAUAAAAGAUUUUAAAAAGCCCCCUUUGGGGACGACAGAAUGAUAGUAGGGUGUUUACACAACUGAGAACUGAAGAUUAAAAAUAAAGGAAGUGUGAUAGAGCAUUAUGACACUAGUGGGUAAUUUUCUGUAGCAGAGUUCCAGUAAGAUGAGUUUGGAAGAGACUCAUUCAUAUAUUUUCUAAAACUGUUACAAAUUUCCUGUCAUAUGUGAUGACAUUUAUCAUAUGUAAGGAUACUGUCACAUUUGAACCAUCUAACUGUGGUGACAGUACAGUACAGCUGCUACUGUUACACCAUUUAAUAUCACAUAAUGAUAGACAUAGAAACCUUUGCAUUUCAGCAGUUGCGCAAAACAAUCCCAAAAAGGUCAAAAACUUUUUAAAGUUUAAAAUGGUUACCAGAUCACUGAUACGUUGUGUUAAGGAAGUUGCUUACACGGAAGUCAAGGUUCAAAGUACUGUAUCUGAAGAGUGACGGGGUGUGGUAUUUAGUUUUGUUUGACAUAGGGAACUGUUUGAUGUCACAUAAGGAACAU